AAUAAACCCGUAACAAUUCAUUCUGUGCUAUUUUUCAAUGUGAGUCAGUGAGUGACCGGUGACUGGCUGCUGCAGCCAAUGAUGCGAUUCACAUACGUAUUUACCAUAGACUGUAUAUAAUGGUAUUUACGCAGCUCAUCAACGUCAGACGUCCUUAUGUGCAGCUACCGUUGUUCUCAUAGAUAUGAAUGAGUAGAUAGGACACGCCCCUUUGAGCUGCGUGCUACAGUGAGGCUAAGCUAGUCGGGGAAAAGUUUCAGUGCAUUCCGUCAAUGCAGACGGCGUGAAAACGGAAACAACAAGUAUGCCGGCUCACUGUGCUGCAUACAGUUACACACUACGUCGUACGAUUGAGACAAGGAAACUUGGAAUGACUUUUCAUAGGUUUCCCAGAGACUAUGGGUUGAGGAGGAAUUGGACGUUUGUCGGCUUAGACCUGGUGUCAUUCCAUCAGUGUUAAACUUCCCGGCUUAUCUUGGAAGAGUACGUGCCAGAAAGACCACGACCAAGCAGCCUUGAGAUCUUAGGCAGCGUCUCCCUGAGGUCCCUCUCUAUCUCCCUACACAUCCACCAACCACUGGAACACAUCUCCAAAGUUCUGCUGGGCCAGCUCAGCUUCCCCUCAGAAGAAGUGCCGCCACCUGCCAGAUGAAGGAGCCUUUUGAGAGGCAGCUGGCAUCGUGUUUGGACUGUACUUUGGUCUGUUCCAAUCCAGCUUCAGCUCCAGAGACGGCAGGCGGAACGAGUCAACGGAGGCCGGGUGGACGAAGGCAUGCAGCUGAGUACAAUCCAGAAAACAACAGAGGAGGAGUGCAGUGGCCUAGUGGCAAAACA